rnacentral:rRNA from 1 species
UACGUAGGGAGCAAGCGUUGUCCGGAAUCAUUGGGCGUAAAGCGCGCGCAGGCGGUCCUUUAAGUCUGAUGUGAAAGCCCACGGCUCAACCGUGGAGGGUCAUUGGAAACUGGGGGACUUGAGUGCAGGAGAGAAAAGUGGAAUUCCACGUGUAGCGGUGAAAUGCGUAGAGAUGUGGAGGAACACCAGUGGCGAAGGCGACUUUUUGGCCUGUAACUGACGCUGAGGCGCGAAAGCGUGGGGAGCAAACAGG